rnacentral:rRNA from 1 species
GACGAACGCUGGCGGCGUGCUUAACACAUGCAAGUCGAACGGAAAGGCCCUGCUUUUGUGGGGUGCUCGAGUGGCGUACGGGUGAGUAACACGUGAGUAACCUGCCCUUGACUUUGGGAUAACUUCAGGAAACUGGGGCUAAUACCGGAUAGGAGCUCCUGCUGCAUGGUGGGGGUUGGAAAGUUUCGGCGGUUGGGGAUGGACUCGCGGCUUAUCAGCUUGUUGGUGGGGUAGUGGCUUACCAAGGCUUUGACGGGUAGCCGGCCUGAGAGGGUGACCGGCCACAUUGGGACUGAGAUACGGCCCAGACUCCUACGGGAGGCAGCAGUGGGGAAUAUUGCACAAUGGGCGGAAGCCUGAUGCAGCAACGCCGCGUGCGGGAUGACGGCCUUCGGGUUGUAAACCGCUUUCGCCUGUGACGAAGCGUGAGUGACGGUAAUGGGUAAAGAAGCACCGGCUAACUACGUGCCAGCAGCCGCGGUGAUACGUAGGGUGCGAGCGUUGUCCGGAUUUAUUGGGCGUAAAGGGCUCGUAGGUGGUUGAUCGCGUCGGAAGUGUAAUCUUGGGGCUUAACCCUGAGCGUGCUUUCGAUACGGGUUGACUUGAGGAAGGUAGGGGAGAAUGGAAUUCCUGGUGGAGCGGUGGAAUGCGCAGAUAUCAGGAGGAACACCAGUGGCGAAGGCGGUUCUCUGGGCCUUUCCUGACGCUGAGGAGCGAAAGCGUGGGGAGCGAACAGGCUUAGAUACCCUGGUAGUCCACGCUGUAAACGGUGGGUACUAGGUGUGGGGUCCAUUCCACGGGUUCCGUGCCGUAGCUAACGCUUUAAGUACCCCGCCUGGGGAGUACGGCCGCAAGGCUAAAACUCAAAGGAAUUGACGGGGCCCCGCACAAGCGGCGGAGCAUGCGGAUUAAUUCGAUGCAACGCGUAGAACCUUACCUGGGUUUGACAUGGAUCGGGAGUGCCCAGAGAUGGGUGUGCCUCUUUUGGGGUCGGUUCACAGGUGGUGCAUGGCUGUCGUCAGCUCGUGUCGUGAGAUGUUGGGUUAAGUCCCGCAACGAGCGCAACCCUUGUUCACUGUUGCCAGCACGUUAUGGUGGGGACUCAGUGGAGACCGCCGGGGUCAACUCGGAGGAAGGUGGGGAUGACGUCAAGUCAUCAUGCCCCUUAUGUCCAGGGCUUCACGCAUGCUACAAUGGCUGGUACAGAGAGUGGCGAGCCUGUGAGGGUGAGCGAAUCUCGGAAAGCCGGUCUCAGUUCGGAUUGGGGUCUGCAACUCGACCUCAUGAAGUCGGAGUCGCUAGUAAUCGCAGAUCAGCAACGCUGCGGUGAAUACGUUCCCGGG